rnacentral:rRNA from 1 species
AUACGGAGGGUGCAAGCGUUACUCGGAAUCACUGGGCGUAAAGGACGCGUAGGCGGGAUGCCAAGUCUGAUGUGAAAUCCUACAGCUCAACUGUAGAACUGCAUUGGAAACUGGUAACCUCGAGUAUGGGAGGGGGAGAUGGAAUUAGUGGUGUAGGGGUAAAAUCCGUAGAUAUCACUAGGAAUACCUAAAGCGAAGACGAUCUCCUGGAACAAUACUGACGCUAAGGCGUGAAAGCGUGGGUAGCAAACGGGAUUAGAAACCCUGGUAGUCC